GUUUCAUUCAGCGGCACAUAUAUUAAAAUUAGAAUGAUAGAAAUGACUACCAUGGUCCCUGUACAAGGAUGAAAAAAUAAGGAAACACUGAUUCUGCCUUCUA